UCCACGCUCAAUAAUUGAUGUUUGUCCACCCCCCACACCCCCCAACCCACCAAAACAAAAAAAAAAAAAACAGGAUAUGCAUAUUACUUUUGAUCGUAAUCUGCAUAAAACAAUAAUUUCCAAUUUGGACUAAUAUUAACUGGAUUUGUAUUCAUUGUUUGUACACAUCCCCCAGAAAUUAAUUGGUUUGGAAGCAUCUUUCUAUACAAUCAUUUGACUUUGUAUUAUUCCAUCAGAAUAAUGAUCAGACAUUUUACAUUGUGCCUCACAUAACAAGCACAAUGUGUUCUUCUAAUUUUUUCUCCAUUUGCUCUUCUCAGUGUCAUUUGCCGUUUGUGUUUUCUGUUGUUUUUAUUCAUCCUCUGCCUUUACGAACACCCAUAUGCUGCCUCUGAUUGUUUUUUAUUCUUUUUCCCUUCUUUAGACUAUCAAUGCAUAUAAACACUAUUUGUUUUGUUUUUUGGUUCUUGUCUUCGCUCUGCAACUCUUGCUGAUGAGUUUGAACUUCUAUUUUCUUUUGACCUUCUUCUUGGCCUAUCUUGAUUCAUGGAUAUGCAUGGUGUUAUGGCUGACCUUUUUUUUUUUCGGUGAAUUUCGUUAUACAAUGUGCCAGGUGUUUUGAGGACAUUAGUAAUGAAGCACAAAAGAUCAAACUGAAUUGCAUUAGACUUUUAUGUUUUUGGUGUAAGCAGAUAUAUCCAGAAGAUACUGAGUCCAUUAUGGAUAUUCUAGGAUCUUGUUAGAAUGUUGGAUCAGUUUUUCUUUUGCCUAAAGUAAAUAUGGUUUUCAGCACAACCUAUGUGCUGGUUUAGUCUAUACAUACUACUGUUACCUUCACACACAAAAAAAAAUUGCCAGGUGUUUGGAAAAAAUGUCACUGUAAGAAAUUCGGACCUUGUUCGCACUGUUGAGGAGUGGAAAUCUCAGUUUUAUCUACCUUUAAGUUCUUACUGAUUUUCACUUUCAAAUUGCUUUAGUUGUUUCGUUGAGAAAAUUCAUGUCACGCCUCAAUUUCUACUUCACUAGUUUUGGACACACGUGCAAGGACACGGGCGUUGCACGUGUGUCCCAUGGAAGUAGUAUAAACGAUAUAAAUUAUAUUAAAGUUGCAGCGAAAUGAGUUAUAACAAAAAAAAAAAAAAAUUAAGUGAAAAAGUAAGUUAAUUGGGCGGUGUUAGAGCUUUUCAUUUGAAGUUUUCGGAUUCAUUGGCAUUGCCUGAGUAUGAGGCUUUGCCUGAUCAAAGAGAAAAUACCGAGAAGAAAAAGUAGAGAAAGUGAAAUCUUGGCUCUUCAAAAGAUUUUUCCAGCUAGAUAUCAGCGGGCAGAGCUACAUCGUAUGAAGGGAAAAGGAAAAGGGAUGUUAUGCAACUGAUGGGUUUGAGCCAUCUACCUCAACUGUAGAAGGCAAGGAGCUCACCAAAUUAGCCACCCUCAAUGCCAUGAAGGGAAUUCAAUUGAAUCCCCUUAGUCGGAAAAUUAUAUUGUGUAAAAGGAUAGAAAGAACCGGAGUUCUUUAUCUAUAUGUUGAAUCCCCUUGUAUACGGAAAACUUUAGGGUAGUGGCAUAGGUGGUUCAAAAAUUGCUUUAGGUCGCAGGUUUGAAUCCUUGUUAUGGAAUUCUUGUGUUCUUUUUUUAGUCCCUUCGUUAGAAUUUCUGUUUUCGCCAUUGUAUGUGACAUAAACAAGUAAUGAGAGUAUGAUUAGUUCGAUGUA